CUCCCCUCAGCCGCUCCCGCAGCCGCCCGGAGCAGCAGCGAGCGGCUCAGCCCGGCUGCCUUCAGCGCCGCUCCCCCGUGCGAGGUGCUGCCGUGGGCAGGUGUUGCCCGGGCAGCCCCGGCCCUGCAGGAAGCACCUCGCAUGCAAGAGAAGGCUGAGAAAAGUACAAUUGAAGAGCAUGGAGCAUUCUGACGUGUGUAACUCAUUGUAUCAAAGGAAGCCUUACAUGGCACAAUUUGGAUGAUGUCUGGACUUAAACCCAUUAUCAGAAAAAGAUAAUGAUGCUGUUGUGAGAGCCAAAUGAAGGGACAACACAUAAUAUCAUACACAAGAAAAUCAGAGAUCUUGAGUGAGCAAAGAGGAUGUACAUGAUGGAGUUAUUUACCAGAAAUGGAAAAAGAAAUUAUUUUGGAACUACAAGCCACAGACAGGGCAAAAAGAUGAUGGAAGUUAUACAAAAGCUUGCUAUUCCCAGAGGAAGACCAGGUCCAUCUACACCACCGUCAGAGGAAAACUACACCCUUUUACAGGAUCACUGCUUCAGCAGAACCAUGCCUGUGGUUCUGGAUAUAAUCUGAGAUUUGGAAAACCACAAGCAGCCUUUGCAAGCAACCAGAACCUCCUGUGCAGGAGGGCUGCAGCCACCAUUUAAUGGGACUGCUACCAACACCCUGACCAACAGGGUGCCAAGUCAUACUCUGACUCUGACAGUGGUUUUUUUGUACUAUUGCAUUUGUAUUUUUAAUUUUCCUAGUAAAGAAAUGUUAUUCCUAUUCUCAUCUCUUUGCCUGAGAGCCCCUUAAUUUAAAAUUAUAAUAAUUUGGAGGGAGGGAGUUUACAUUUUCCAUUUUGAAGGAGGCUCCUGCCUUCCUUAGCAGGAGCCUUUUCAAGCCAAGACAUGGAUAAAGCAAACUCUUACUGUCCUCUAGAUGUCAUGAUGUGGAAGAGGAGCAGCUGGA